rnacentral:tRNA from 1 species
CCCCACUAUGGCUCAGUUAGUUAGAGCAUGGUGCUGACAACACCAAGGCCACAGGUUCAAUCCCUGUUUUGGACA